rnacentral:rRNA from 1 species
CUCAAGAAGUUAGCGGCGGACGGGUGAGUAACACGUGGGUAACCUGCCCAUAAGACUGGGAUAACUCCGGGAAACCGGGGCUAAUACCGGAUAACAUUUUGAACUGCAUGGUUCGAAAUUGAAAGGCGGCUUCGGCUGUCACUUAUGGAUGGACCCGCGUCGCAUUAGCUAGUUGGUGAGGUAACGGCUCACCAAGGCAACGAUGCGUAGCCGACCUGAGAGGGUGAUCGGCCACACUGGGACUGAGACACGGCCCAGACUCCUACGGGAGGCAGCAGUAGGGAAUCUUCCGCAAUGGACGAAAGUCUGACGGAGCAACGCCGCGUGAGUGAUGAAGGCUUUCGGGUCGUAAAACUCUGUUGUUAGGGAAGAACAAGUGCUAGUUGAAUAAGCUGGCACCUUGACGGUACCUAACCAGAAAGCCACGGCUAACUACGUGCCAGCAG